CCGCCGGAAUCCCGGCCACGAGAGAGAGAAGAAAAGGGCCCACCCAGCUGAGCAGCGGCGGGCUGGCAAGUCGGAGUGAUGCCGGUGCGCUUUGGAAAGCGCGCCAUGCGUAAAAGUACCCGGGGCGCACCGCCGGGAUGAACUCCGAGGUGGCGGGCGGCCAGGGCGCGCCGUCCCUGCCUCCGGCUUGGCUUGGCGAGGCGAGGCGGCUGGGAAAUCCAGAAAUUCCACAGACCUGGGAGGAAAUUUCCAUUCACUGUGACAGGGGAACAUGGAUUCUCGGUGGGCCCAGUUCUCUCAGAUUGGGAGGCACCAGUUUCAAGAUUCUGGAGAGGGGGGGUCUCCAAAAGCUCUGACUUCUAACCUUGACCUUGAAAUUCCCUGCAAUGAGCCAUUCCUCAAAGGUAGCCCUUCACCUCCCCUUGAAGGUGCUAGGAAAGAAGGCAAAGGGAAUCACAGUUCUCCUCUCCAGAUCAUUCGGCAGAAAGUUCUCCCAGAUGAGGUUGGCAGGGCGAUGGCAGCCACGGUAGCAUUUCUCUUUGGACACAGUUUUAAUUAAACCCGGCCUGGGGAUGUGCAACGGCAAUUGAAAGACAACAUUUUCAUAUGGACCAAGGAUCUGUGAUAUUUACCCUUCAAAAUAAUCAGAGUGGGGACAUUCUCUCUCCCUCUGUGUGUGUGUGUGUGUAUGUGUCUGUCUGUCUGUCUGUCUCUCUGUUUCUCUCUCUCUCUCUAUCUCUCUGUGUGUCUCUCUGUCUCUCCCUCUCUCUCUCAACAGGAAUGUAAUCUUCUUACGGGUUGCUUUAUCCCUUUACAAAAAGCAAAUUUUUCUUUUCAAAUGAAAAAAAAAAUCCCUCUGAAAGCACAUUUAACCAACAAUCACAGAAAUGGGAAGCCCCCCCCCCCAAAAAAAUCCGGGCUGCAUUGAUGCUGCACCCCAAAUGCCACUGAGUUACGUGAAUCAAGUUCUGGGCACCAGCAAUACUUGUGGGUCCUGCUUCUCCGAGGCAUCUUCCUAGCCUGGGCCAAGAUGAGCAGGAGAAAUGCUGGCUCCUUCCCCAAAGAAUAGAGCCAGUUGAGGAUGAGAUCCUGCUCCAUGGGUUCUUGAAAAAUGGGGGGAGAGUCGGGGCCCUCCAUCCUGACCUGUGUUGGGGACCAGCAAACCUGCUUGGAUGCCUCUUCUGGGACUUCGGCUGCCCAUUUCUGGGAAGAGAAGGCUGGGAGGUAGAGGCACCCUUAGCUUCCACACCAGGCCCAUCCUCGGCUUCCUUGGGGAGGGGAGCUUGGAGAAGCAGAAGGCAACCUGAUGAGGCCCACAGGCUGCCUCUUUUCCCCACUUAAUUCCCAUGUUGGGGCCCAGGCGUCACCGCAGCCACUGGACCAGGGUUCCCCCUGCAACAGGAGGAGGAGGAGGAUGGGGUGGGGGGUUUGCAAGCCCUGCUCCCCUCCUCUUCAGCUGUCUCCUGUUUCUGACAUUUAUAGCGUAAUAACGCCCUGUGCGUAUAAAAUUCCUAAAUAGAUUUACAUAAUUUAUUGCGACUCUUUUGUGGUUUAUUUAAUGCUUGGCUGAUUCUUGCUCAGCUUAAUGCACUACCAUUGUGCGAGACGCACCAAGAGGGUUUGUUUUACAGUUUUUAAUCAAGGCCUCCCGAACAUCUGCUCGCUGCAGUUGCUGAUGGGGAAUUCCAGGAGAGGCUGGGCGAGGGGCGAGAGGGCUUCAAAGCUCUGCCCGCUGCCUGGCAGCCUUCCAGGGGCCUCCUUCAGUCCUGGCUGCCUUUCUGCAGGAAGCAAAGCAGCAACGGAGACCCUCCUCGGCAAAAGGCCCCAAUCCUGGCUUGCAUUCCUGGUUUGUAUAAAACCUUCCCUCGGAGAAGAAGAGGAGUGGAGAAGCCAAACUUUGCCUCUCACUGAAUGCUAGUUUGCAUCUGGUGGAAGGAAUGGAGGGGGGGGGAAAGAAGGAAGGAAGGAAGGAAGGAAGGAAGGGGAAAGCAAGGGAAGGAAAAGAAAGAAGGAGGGAGGGAGGGAGAGAGGGAGCUGUGCAAAAUAGCUCUUAUUUGUAGUCUAAACUGGUUCCAACCUCUCUGUCAUCUCAUGUCUUACCUGAGAGACAAAAUUUGCAGGUACGGGGAAAAGAGAACCUUGACAAUUGAUAAUGUUCAACACUGAGGCAGCGACUCCAGUUUGUGGGAUGACAAUCUCUGGCCACAGCACAAAAGGAAAGGAGGGGAGGAGGGAGGAAGAAAAAACCAUAAAGAAAUGGAGGAAGGAGUUCUUCAGGAAAAAGCCCCCUUUCUCUUCUGCUCUUCCUGUGAAAGGCGAUGAUUUCUCCCUCUUCUCCACCUUGCUUGUGUAUCCUACUUUCAGCUCUCCUUCAAAGAUGCUAAUUGCGGACAGCAGAAGAACGACUCGGAGGGCAUUAUGGUGAAAUGGAGACAACCUUUAUAACUUACUGGAAAACCCAGUGGCUGUUUCCAGUCAUGGGUUGAAUUUAUGCAAGAUUGCUCAGAAAAAUGCACAACAAUUUCGACGGCUCACCAAUCUCCAAAAGGAAGGGUGACAUUGGACUCAAGUUUGGGAAGUGUAACAGCCCCUCCUGCUAAAAACCAUCCGAGGGCCCACUCUAGGAGGUAAACAUGGAGAAAUCAGGAUUUUUUUCUGACCCAGGCCAAAUUCGGUGCAAAAUAUUAUAACCGCUUGAACAUUUUAGAGCCCCUUGAGUUGUUACUCGUACAGAGGGACAGUGGCAAAACUUUUUGUGGCUGGGCCUGGUAGAGUUUAAUUUUCUAAUGGACGGCUUUCUUGCCAUUUUGUGUUAGCCAAAGAGAGAAAGGGGGAAGCAGAACAAGAAAGAAAGACUUUCUAUCAAGCCAGGAAGCUGCUGGCUUCAGCAGGAGGUGAGGUUAGUCAUGGAGAUGAGAAGACGCAGCGUGAGCUUUGCACACCCAAUCAAUAUAGCUUUGGGUGGAUUAAUCUCCCUGGAAGAUUCUCUGCCUGGUUUAAAUGCAGCUCUGCUUUUCUCAAGGGUUUAGAUGAUCUUCAGGCAAAAGAAAAUAAACAAAAAAAGUGGGGGGAGGAUUGAGGGAUUGGGCUGUUGGAAAAUGAAGUUUCUUUAGCUUUUAAUGGCUUGUCGGGAAGAUCAAGGAGGAAAGAGCUGCUUGUUGUGAUGUUUCUGAUUUUAACUGAAGUCAGAAUAGAGUUGGAAGGGAGCUUGGAGGUCUUCUAGUCCAGCCCCCUGCUCAAGCAGGAGAUCCUAUCCCAUUUCAGACAAGUGGCAGUGCAAUCUCUUCUUAAAAACCUCCAGUGAUGGAGCACCUACACAUUCUGGUGGCAAGCAGUUCCACUGGAUAAUUGUCCUCACUGUUAGGAAGUUUCUCCUUAAUUCCAGGUUGCUUCUCUCCUUGAUUAGUUUCCAGCCAUAGUUUCAGUGCAUUAUAUAUCCAGGAGAAGCAAAGCUUCAUCCUAGGUGAGGAAGAUGUUUCUCUUUCAAAGCCAUGAAGAAAUUCCUCCUCUUUUGGAUAAUGCAGAAGAGAUUUGGACAAAGUGGCCUUGGAAUCACCAUCGAACUUCUUACCUAUAGUCUGUCCUACUAUCGAAGCACCAUUGAGAGUGUCCUGACAUGCGGCAUUCUUGCAUGGUAUGGGAGCAGCUCUGUAGCGGACAGAAAAGCUCUACAGAGAAUCAUUAAAACUGCCCAGAAUAUCAUUGGGCUCCAGUUACCAGCCCUGGACGACAUCUUCGAAUCUCUCUGUUUGAGGAAGUUGCACAACAUUCUGAGAGACUCUUCCCAUCCUGCUUACAAUCUUUUUGGGCUGUUGCCUUCUGGCAGAAGAUACAGAACAAUUAAAACUUGGACCACACAUUUUCUGAAUAGUUUUUAUCCCAGAGCUAUAAUUGCACUCAACCAUGAACUAAAGGGCCUCCAUCAGGGAGCUGUUGGACAGCAUUACUUGGUCUGUUGUGUGGAUGUUUGGGUGCUUUAGGGGUGGGGAAUUCAUGGGGGGUGUUUGGAGAUUGUUAUAUAUGUUGGACCUGGUCUUUGGGUGUUAAGUGGAUUUGGUUGUAUGGGUAUACUGUGUAUAUACAGUACAUACAAUGACAAUGAAGUUAUUAUUAUUACCUCCCAAAUCCUAGAAUCCUUCCCGUUAAUAACAGAAUCCAGUGAAUAUGUUUUCAGCGUCAGUCAAAGCACUGCAGAAGUAUCUCAGCUGGUUUCUUUUGGCCUCCUAGCCUGGUUACUGGACUGCGCCUGCCUCCCUCCCUCCCUCUAGGCAUUUUCUCUUCUCCCAAGGACAAAUUGGAAGUGGGGUGGGGCAGGGGUGGGUUGUACUUAACCUUUACUACCGGUUCGCAAUGGGGCUGCGCACGCACGCUUCUGCACAUGCGCAGAAGCUCCCUGAUGAUGUUGGGGUCGGUGGGUAGAGCCUCCCACCAGUUUUACUACCGGUUCUUGCAAACCGGUCCGAACCGGUUUGCAACCAACCACUGGGGUGGGGGGUAUCCUACCACGCCAGGGUGGCCUGAGCCAAAGCAAACUUUGCUGCUGGAAAUCUACUCAGGCGCUCUCCUGGGGAAGCCUUGGCAGAAGAUAACAAGCGGCUGGUGCCAUCAGGAGCUAGGGAAGUGGCUGCCUUUGGCUUUUAAGAAGGCCAUGAAGAACUCGAUGUGCUGCUUCCUCUGCAGGUUUAGAGCACAGCCUUUCCGAGAGGGCCAAUUGCCUUGGAGUUGCCCUUCCCUUGCCAAAUUGACUCAGUCUCCUGUUGCUCCGGCCAGGCAAUGGACCUAUCAUGCAACAGAAAGAAGAGCAGGGGGUCUUCAUGGGGGGGGGUGUCUCUUUCGCCUUAGACCUUUUCUUCCACAGAGGAAUUAUUGAGUCUGUCAUCUGCACCUCUAUAACUGUCUGGUUUGGCUCUGCAACCCAACAAGACAAACCCAGACUUCAGAGGAUGAUUAGAACUGCAGAAAAAACAAUGGCUACCAACCUGCCUUCCAUUGAGGACCUGUGUACUGCACGACUCAAAAAGAGGGCUAUACAGACCCCUCACAUCCUGGACAUAAACUGUUUCAACUCCUACCCUCAAAACGAGGCUAUAGAGAACUGCACACCAGAACAACUAGACACAAGGACAGUUUUUUCCCAAACGCCAUCACUCUGCUUAAUAACUAAUUCCCACAACACUGUCAAACUAGUUACUAAGUCUGCACUACUAUUAAUCUUCUCAUCAUUCCCACCACCCAACUCCUUCCACUUAUGACUGUAUGACUCUAACUUUGUUGCUGGUAUCCUUAAGAUUCAUAUUGACUGUUUCCUAAUAUGAUUUGCUUGCUUAUUUGUACCCUAUGACUAUCAUUAAGUGUUGUACCUUAUGAUUCUUGACGAAUGUAUCUUGUCUUUUACGUACACCGAGGGCAUUUGCACCAAGACAUAUUCCUUGUGUGCCAAUAAAAAUUCUAUUCUAAUCUA